GAACCACAGACCAGAUGGCAGACCAGCUUCAACUUCUACUAGUGAAAGAGGAGAGGACUCACUAUGAAUUCAAGAUUAGCAGCAAGAGGAUUUCUAGCUUUCCUUCGAAGAACGAGGGCCUCCAGCAAAGCAUGGUGACAGGGAGGAAGGCCAGUCACCGUGUUGGAGGUAAGACACAGG